rnacentral:rRNA from 1 species
UCCCAUCAGAACUCCGAAGUUAAGCGUGCUUGGGCGAGAGUAGUACUAGGAUGGGUGACCUCCUAGGAAGUCCUCGUGUUGCAUUCC